rnacentral:sRNA from 1 species
GUGUCUGAAGCUAUCUCUCCAGCGUGAACCUUACGUUAAUAAACAGCACGAUACGACAACCUAGCCCAUGGUAGAAGAUACUCUUGCAAUCCGUUGCAACAAGCAUUUGAGGAAGACGACGGAUAGCAAAAAGACCAAGUGGGUUGGCAGGUCCAGGAUUUGGGGACGCUGAGGGGCCUAAAGGGCCUGUGUCAUCGUCAGUUAUACGACACUACGUCCCAGAACAAUAAUUGGAAGAGGGUGAUGUUCACAGGUUUUUAAUGGGUUCAGGUCAGAAAUAGGUGAUUGAAGAACUCAUUCACAGCGAUAGGAGGGUGGUAGAACUUCAUCAAGAAGGUUUUGUCGGAGGAGCCAAUAGAAAUCUUGGAGACGUCAAUAAGGUUACUUCUUCAUGGCCGAGGCGAUAAUCAACACCGACCUCUAAAGUUGAAGGUUUUCGAGGGCGAGCUGGUGGAGG